AACUUUCAGCAACGGAUCUCUUGGCUCUCGCAUCGAUGAAGAACGCAGCGAAAUGCGAUAAGUAAUGUGAAUUGCAGAAUUCAGUGAAUCAUCGAAUCUUUGAACGCACCUUGCGCUCCUUGGUAUUCCGAGGAGCAUGCCUGUUUGAGUGUCACUA
rnacentral:rRNA from 1 species